rnacentral:rRNA from 1 species
UUAAGUUGGGCACUCUAGAGAGACUGCCAGGGAUAACCUGGAGGAAGGUGGGGAUGACGUCAAAUCAUCAUGCCCCUUAUGCUUAGGGCUACACACGUGCUACAAUGGGUAGUACAGAGGGUUGCAAAGCCGUAAGGUGGAGCUAAUCCCUUAAAGCUACUCUCAGUUCGGAUUGUAGGCUGAAACUCGCCUACAUGAAGCUGGAGUUACUAGUAAUCGCAGAUCAGA